rnacentral:rRNA from 1 species
UACGAACUGUGCGAACGUUAUUCGGAAUCACUGGGCUUACAGGGUGCGUAGGCGGCUUAGCAAGUCAGGUGUGAAAGCCCCCGGCUCAACCGGGGAACUGCGCUUGAAACUGCUGAGCUCGAGUCAGCUAGAGGUACACGGAACUUCCAGUGGAGCGGUGAAAUGUGUUGAUAUUGGAAGGAACACCGGAGGCGAAAGCGGUGUACUGGGGCUGGUCUGACGCUGAGGCACGAAAGCCAGGGGAGCAAACGGG